AGAGUUUGAUCCUGGCUCAGGAUGAACGCUGGCGGCGUGCUUAACACAUGCAAGUCGAACGGAGAUAUCAUUUUCGAAGCGAUUAGUUUACUAAGAGUGGAGAUGUUGAUAUCUUAGUGGCGGACGGGUGAGUAACGCGUGGGUAACCUGCCUUACACUGGGGGAUAACACUUAGAAAUAGGUGCUAAUACCGCAUAAUGAGAGGAGACGCAUGUCUUCUGUCUGAAAACUCCGGUGGUGUAAGAUGGACCCGCGUCUGAUUAGCCAGUUGGCGGGGUAACGGCCCACCAAAGCGACGAUCAGUAGCCGGCCUGAGAGGGUGAACGGCCACAUUGGGACUGAGACACGGCCCAAAACUCCUACGGGAGGCAGCAGUGGGGAAUAUUGGACAAUGGGGGGAACCCUGAUCCAGCGACGCCGCGUGAGUGAAGAAGUAUUUCGGUAUGUAAAGCUCUAUCAGCAGGGAAGAAAGAAAUGACGGUACCUGACUAAGAAGCCCCGGCUAACUACGUGCCAGCAGCCGCGGUAAUACGUAGGGGGCAAGCGUUAUCCGGAUUUACUGGGUGUAAAGGGAGCGUAGACGGCAGUGCAAGUCUGAAGUGAAAGGCGGGGGCCCAACCCCCGGACUGCUUUGGAAACUGUGCUGCUGGAGUGCAGGAGAGGUAAGCGGAAUUCCUAGUGUAGCGGUGAAAUGCGUAGAUAUUAGGAGGAACACCAGUGGCGAAGGCGGCUUACUGGACGGCAACUGACGCUGAGGCCCGAAAGCGUGGGGAGCAAACAGGAUUAGAUACCCUGGUAGUCCACGCUGUAAACGAUGAAUAUUAGGUGUUUGGCGGGCAAAGCCCGUCGGUGCCGCCGCACACGCAAAUAAGUAUUCCACCUGGGGAGUACGUUCGCAAGAAUGAAACUCAAAGGAAUUGACGGGGACCCGCACAAGCGGUGGAGCAUGUGGUUUAAUUUGAAGCAACGCGAAGAACCUUACCAAGUCUUGACAUCCCUUUGAAUGGAGAGUAAAGUUUCCAGGCCUACGGGACAAAGGAGACAGGUGGUGCAUGGUUGUCGUCAGCUCGUGUCGUGAGAUGUUGGGUUAAGUCCCGCAACGAGCGCAACCCUUAUUCUUAGUAGCCAGCAGGUAAAGCUGGGCACUCUGGGAAGACUGCCAGGGAUAACCUGGAGGAAGGUGGGGAUGACGUCAAAUCAUCAUGCCCCUUAUGAUUUGGGCUACACACGUGCUACAAUGGCGUAAACAAAGGGAGGCGAAGGAGUAAUCUGGAGCGAACCCCAAAAAUAACGUCUCAGUUCGGACUGUGGUCUGCAACCCGACCACACGAAGCUGGAAUCGCUAGUAAUCGCGAAUCAGAAUGUCGCGGUGAAUACGUUCCCGGGUCUUGCACUCACCGCCCGUCA
rnacentral:rRNA from 1 species